UACAUGGGGUGCAAACGUUGCUCGGAAUUAUUGGGCGUAAAGCGCACGUAGGUGGUCCCUUAAGUCGGAUGUGAAAGCCCUCGGCUCAACUGAGGAAGUGCAUCCGAAACUGAGGGGCUGGAGUAUGGAAGAGGGUCGCGGAAUUCCCGGUGUAGAGGUGAAAUUCGUAGAUAUCGGGAGGAACACCGGUGGCGAAGGCGGCGACCUGGGCCAAUACUGACACUGAGGUGCGAAAGCGUGGGGAGCAAACAGG
rnacentral:rRNA from 1 species